AUGACGGACGGCCACCUCUUCAACAACAUUCUCCUCGGGGGCCGCACCGGCACGAAUCUUGGUCAGUUUAAAGUGCACUCUGGAGGGCUCGCAUGGAAGAGACAAGGUGGAGGAAAGACAAUUGAGAUCGAUAAAGCUGAUUUAACUUCUGUGACAUGGAUGAAAGUCCCCAGGGCAUAUCAGCUUGGAGUCAGAAUCAAAGAUGGCCUGUCCUACACAUUUAUUGGCUUCCGCGAACAGGAUGUAAGCAGCCUGAUCAAUUUCAUGCAAAAGAAUUUGGGCAUCUCACCAGAUGAAAAGCAGUUAUCUGUUGGUGGUCACAACUGGGGAGGGAUUGGCAUAGUUGGAAGCAUGCUUACCUUUAUGGUUGAAUCGAAGCAAGCAUUUGAAGUUUCUCUAGCAGACGUCUCACAGACCCAGAUGCAAGGCAAAACAGAUGUUCGCUUGGAGUUCCAUGUUGAUGAUACUACUGGUGCUAAUGAGAAAGAUUCGCUCAUGGAUAUGAGUUUUCAUGUACCCACGUCAAAUACUCAAUUUCCUGGAAACGAGAAUCGUACUUCGGCUCAGAUACUGUGGGAGGCAAUACUUGCUAGGGCUGAUAAUGGUUCCGGCUCUUCUGGAGAGGCAGUUGUCACCUUUGAAGGAAUAGCUAUUCUUACACCAAGAGGACGAUACGCCGUUGAGCUUCAUCUUCCAUUUCUGCGCCUUCAAGGACAAGCUAAUGAUUUUAAAAUCCAAUAUAGCAGCAUUCUUCGCCUCUUUGUUUUGCCAAAGUCAAAUAACCCUCAUACAAUUGUGGUUGUCACUCUUGAUCCGCCAAUCCGUAAAGGACAAACACUAUAUCCUCACAUUGUCAUUCAGUUUGAGACGGACACAGUAGUUCAAAAAAAUAUGAAAUUAAGCAGAGAGUUGCUUGAUGAAAAAUACAAGGAUAGGCUAGUGGAAUCUUAUCAGGGUCUAGUACAUGAGGUAUUCGUCAAAGUCCUCCGCGGCCUUUCUGGUGCUAAAGUCACAAGGCCGGGUUCUUUCAGAAAUUACAAAAAUGGAUAUGCAGUUAAAUCAUCACUCAAAGCUGAAGAUGGACUGUUGUAUCCACUUGAAAAGGGUUUCUUCUUUCUGCCAAAGCCCCCUACACUCAUUUUAGAUGAAGAGAUUGAGUUUGUUGAAUUUGAACGGCAUGGUGCUGGUGGCGCCAGUAUGUCAUCUCAGUAUUUUGACCUCCUGGUCAAGCUAAAAAAUGACCAAGAGCAUCUCUUCAGAAAUAUUCAGAGGAGUGAAUACCGUAACCUCUUCAACUUUAUCAAUGGAAAGGGCUUGAAACUAAUGAACCUUGGAGAUGGUCAAGGUACAAGUGGUGUCACAGAUGUUCUACAGGACACUGAUGAUGUUGCUCCUGAUCCACAUCUAGAGAGAAUAAAAAAUCAGGCCGAGAGUAGUGAGGACAGUGAUGAAGAGGAUGAAGAUUUUGUUCUGCAUAAGGAUGAUGGUGGAUCUCCUACUGAUGAUUCUGGUGGCGAGGAAUCAGAUGCUAGUAAAAGUGGUGGCGAAAAACAGAAGUCAUCCAAAAAGGAAGCCCGUAGUUCAAAGCCACCUGUGAAAAGGAAGCCUAAGGGCAAGGAUGGCGAAGGUUCAGGGAAAAGGAAGCCUAAGGGCAUGGAUGGCGAAGGUUCAGAGAAGAGGAAACCAAAGAAGAAGAAAGAUCCCAACGCCCCCAAAAGACCAAUGAUGCCAUUCAUGUAUUUCUCAAUGGCUGAGCGGGCAGGUGUGAAGGAUAGCAAUCCAGAUUUGGCUCCAACCGAUAUUGCAAAGAAGCUUGGAGAGAUUUGGCAAAAGAUGUCAACCGAAGACAAGCAACCUUACAUUCUGCAGUCUCAAGCCGACAAGAAGCGGUACGAGAAGGAAUCUGCUGCCUACCGCGCUGCUGCCCCAGUGGACGUGGACGCCGGGUCCGGCAAUGCCUCUGACUAG
rnacentral:rRNA from 1 species